AACGAACGCUGGCGGCAGGCCUAACACAUGCAAGUCGAGCGAGACCUUCGGGUCUAGCGGCGGACGGGUUAGUAACGCGUGGGAACGUGCCCUUCUCUGCGGAAUAGCCACUGGAAACGGUGAGUAAUACCGUAUACGCCCUUUGGGGGAAAGAUUUAUCGGAGAAGGAUCGGCCCGCGUUAGAUUAGAUAGUUGGUGGGGUAACGGCCUACCAAGUCUACGAUCUAUAGCUGGUUUUAGAGGAUGAUCAGCAACACUGGGACUGAGACACGGCCCAGACUCCUACGGGAGGCUGCAGUCACGAAUCUUCCACAAUGGCCGAAAGGCUGAUGGAGCAAUGCCGCGUGUGUGAUGAAGGUCUUAGGAUCGUAAAGCACUUUCGCCAGGGAUGAUAAUGACAGUACCUGGUAAAGAAACCCCGGCUAACUCCG
rnacentral:rRNA from 1 species